GCCUCAAGCAAGUGUGUUGAAGACGAUGAAGACAUUCUGCUCUUUCUGCUGACAGCCUCUCUGCCAUUAAUUUGUCUAAAACACGGAGCUGUGAUGGAACAAAAAGGUUCAGCCGAAAUGGUAUCAAUACCAGAUCUGUUUGCUGUUCAUCUUAUCUUGCACUGCUACAAACUCCACUUUUAUUUCUUCCAUAGCAGCUGCCAGCUGGUUCUCUACUUUAUGUAUUAGUG